AUGAGACUUUGCCUCCAUUUCCUUUUCUUUGUAGCAGCUUUCGAAGGUGUCCGGUCGCAGGUCCAGCUGGUGGAGUCUGGAGGGGAUGUGAAAAAGCCCGGAGACGCUCUCCGCCUCUCCUGCAAAGCCUCCGGCUUCACCUUCAGCGAUUACUGGAUGCACUGGGUCCGUCAGGCUCCUGGAAAGGGACUGGAGUGGGUCGCCGGUAUCAACAGCGGCACUGGGACUAGCACAUACUAUGCUGAUACAGUCAAAGGGCGAUUCACCAUCUCCAGGGACAAUCCCAACAACCUGCUGUAUCUGCAAAUGACCGGCCUGAAGCCCGAGGACACCGCCCGGUAUCAC